GGUUAAGCUAAGCUUGCUGACUUGGCUGCUUUUAGCAAUAAGCCAUAGUGGUUUCAAGCACUUUACCGGCUUGCCAAAGUCUCCCCGUACACAGGGAGGUGAUGAUUCAUUCCAUCCAUUAUUGAGUGCUUGUAGCAUAUUUUUAUCUAUGGUAGGUUUGUGCUGCUGCAGCCAUCACGAGGUGAUGCUUUUUCAUCUGGCAACAGUUAAGAAGAGAGCUUUGGGAUAUCUCUUGGAUUCUUGACCUUUUUGUACCAUUAGAAAACAUUCUGCAGAUCUAGCAGGAGCUGUCUCAAGGGUUGCAACUGUUUGUGCGAAAAUAGGAGAAACAGCAGAACUGAGGCCAACCUUACUCCCAGGUUCCUUGGCAAGAGAGAGUUUUCUGAUGAGGGGAGUGCAGAGCGUACGCCUUACCGAAGUAGGCGAACACCUCAGAUCUACUACUCUAUUAAAUUGGCUGGUGCUGCCUUGGAUUUUGUUUCCAGUCAUCCUUCUCUUUAGCUGAUGUGGCCACUCCUAGUUUGUCUUUGCUUUGAUAGAAAAAAACCAGCAAAUAUUCAGGUGACUCCCAUGUAUUCUGAAUAUCUGAAAGAACUUAUUCAAGUUAUGCUUGUGUUCUCUCGUGUGUUCCGACAAUCAGCUGAUCUCAUUGAUCACAAUGCUUUCGAGGUUCCCCAAAAUUUGGCUGGGUAAACACAGAUGUUCUACAUUUUCUAAUCGCUUGUAGUUCUUACUGGGCACCCCAAUUUUCCAAACAAUUUCUUAAAUCUAUUUCCUUAUUUCUUCCCCCUCCCACCUGCCAUUUCCCCCUCUCUAUUAUUUCUUGUGCACAAAUGUUUAAGUAACAAAUAUUUUAACUGGCAUGGACCAAAUCCUUACUCAGUCAAACUCAUACUUGAUGGAUCCUCUUGUUAUAGGGAGGCCCCUGAACUGAUCUCUGGCAGUGGAUGGGGGAAUCAUGAGUGGCUCUGGGGGAACUGCUGUUAAGGGUGCAUGUGUGGGUCUGUGUCUUCUCAUUUUUCUGACCACUUUGUGCCAGCUUUCUUCAGCUGAGCUGGCUCCCCUGCUUAUCUGCUAGUACAUCUUCUACUCCACAAUAGCAGUAGCCACUCAGGGGAAAUGGGUGGAAUAUAUGGGCAGAGGGAGGUGGACUAGGCCUCCUGUCCACCUUCAACAGCAGCCUCCUUCUUGGGUUAAAGAGGGAAGGGAAAGGAGAGGGGAACUUGGAUUAAGGGAGAGGGAGUGAGAAGGCACAAUAAGGGAAUGCACCUCAGAUAUGAGGAGGAAGCAGGAUGGAUCUCAGUUGGGAGAGAAAACUCAGUGGAGUGGCCACAGUGGGGAGCAAAGGAGGAAGUGGGUUUGUUGAGAGGAGGGUGAAGGAAAAGAGGAACGUGAGGGAGACUCCUUGGAAACUAGAGAAGAGCCAAAGGAGGUGAGGGGAAGAGAGGUCAAGGACAACAUAAUAUGAGGGAGAGCAAGGAUGAUUGUAAGCAACUUGAGAUAGCGACCGUGUCUUCCUUGUGCAGUGUCAAGCACACUGUCAGCGCUUAAUCAGUAAUGACAGGGGAAUCAAGGAUGAGGGGACCAAAGGAUGAAGGGAAAGGAGAGGCUGCUUUCAAGGAGAAGACCCAACAAGAGGAGCUGUAGGGAGAGGGAAUAAGAGAGAAAACAGAAUGUGAACAUGAAAAAAUACAUGAAAUGGAGAUGAUAGAAUAAAUCAGAGAUGGGAGGAGAGAAAAAACAGGUUAAAGAAAUGAAAGGUGGAAAAAAUCUAGGAAACAUUACUAAGCUUGAUUUAAUGUAUUUAUGCUUCUAUAUGUUACUGCAUUUCAUUCUCAGGGGGUCUCUGUCAGGGUAAGCUUAGAUGGGAACCACCAUUCUGAGCGCUUAUGAUAUUUAUAUUGGUGCCUAUGCUGAAUUCUAUCAUUAAGUAGCUGGAGAAAAAGUCAGGGAAAAAAGCUAAAUUGCACCAGAUUGUACUCCAAACAUGCUGGGGGCCUAGCAGCUAUUCAGACCACGGGCUUAUUGGGGAAUUGUGUCUGAAAAUCCUUUUCAAACGUUGGCAGCUGUAUGUGCUGCUUCCAGUGCCAGCAGAUGAAAUGCACUUCUCCUACCACAGAGGAGGCUGGGAGUAGCCUAAGGAGUCUCCCCUGUGUUAUUUAAAAAGAAUCUUUUAAUUUGGAGGGAUGCAAAAGGCUUGUGGGCUCCUGUGAUGGGGUGUACAAACCUCACACUAGGCAACAAGGGGUUAAGGGAUCAUUUUGGGCUCAGUCAGCUCUGCCCUGCCACACCUGCAGCAAAUGUUCCAUCUGCUGGAGGAAUUGAAAGGCAGGGAAUUAACUCCUUUGGGUGACAGAGUUGGAGGUGGGCAGACCUGCCCCCUACAAUUUGAGCGGAGCAGAGGGAAACCUAAAGGUUCUGACACCACUGCCUAAAAGGGGCUCUCCUUGAGGGAAAGGAGGCUCCACUACAGAGACAACCAGAGAGGGCAGUAUCCUGUGACCUUGGACAUUGGUAUCUUCCUCUUAUUUCUUUUGGUUUGGCUUUCCUCACCAGGCAAGGCCUUGGGCUAAGCUGACCCCAGCGGGGGAGACAAGAGGAAGAAGCCCAGGGAGGACAGUCUUAAUCGGUCUUGGUUGCCAGAUUACUGGUAGCCCAAAGAGCCCUGGGUCUGAGCCCAGUGGAGUGGGAGGGCCUGGGCUCCCCUCCUCACAACCCCCUUGGCAGUCCAGGGUUGUGGUGUGACCACUAGGCCACACUUCCCAAACAGACCCUGAGUGAGGACUGUUACAAAAGAAUCCCCUCAUAAUUCUGACACUGGUUGAGUGUAUCCCACUGUUCAGUUUUGUGUCCCCCUCUCAGCCUGGCCUACAAAGGAUAAGAGCCUACUCCUGCUCCCAUGAAUGGAGCUAGUCCUUUAGUUCACUCUGUAGCAGCUUAUGAACCACAGACUUGCAGAGCUCAGACCAAUCCCCAUGAUGACAGUUGUUACAGAGACUUAUAUCCUCUGCACUGGAGGGCCCAGGUUCAAAUGCUAGUGAUGACCAAGAAUACUGUCUUUACAUGGGCAUUUUGGUGCUCACCAGAGAUAGAAACAGAAAGAGAGAAGAAAAAUGCAGGUGUAAAAUGUAUGCUUCUGUCCUGCAAAGCUGGCUGCAUAUUAACAAAAUGCUUUGGUAAUAAAGGGGAAAGAAUUACUAAUUAAUCUCUCUCCUUUUUGUUUUCUCUGGAGGAGGCUUCUAUUUGUAUACCCUCAUUAGUGAGACUAGGUACAGGUGUAUACCAUCUGGAGCAUAUCUAAUUAAAUUAGGUGUAAGCAGUGUCAGGAUGAGCUCCACCCUGACAUCUGGUGGUGAGGUGUGGCAAGUUGUGGAAAAGAACUUCAGGGGCCGAUCUCAUUUGCAUAGGCACACCCACCCCACCUAGAAUGAGACCAUAGCUGCCCAAAUGGUCACUUUGGCUGCUGUGGGGUCCCCAGUGUCUCUGUUAUUGGGGCAGGAAGAAUAAAUUGUUAUUACCCUGAUUAUGGGAACUGUGCUUGGAACUGUACGUGGCCUUUUGUUAUGAUGGAGGGAUUCACCAUCAACUAAGUAGCACUCGCUAGGCAAGGGUCAUGGGUUCCAAAACUGCGUGAAUGGAGAGAGGCUGGGGACAAGUAUUAAUACUUGGUGGCAUGGGCCCCUUGGUGAGGGCCUUACAUGCUAAUUGCACUUCCUCCUCUCUCCACUGUGGAAUAUCAGAGCUAAUUUUGAUUUCAUUAGAAGUCUAGUUAUAGGCUGCUGAGCUCACUUUGGGCUGACAGUGCACCAGCACUGGGGCUUCCCUACUACAAGCUGAAUUCACCUAAGAGCUGAAAUCACUGAGUGUUGUGUUAAGUAGUGGGGGAGCCUGAAGAUAUAUUGUGGAGCAGUUUGCGGGACGGCUGGUGAAGCAGUUCGACGCGGAGCAGUGUGUGGAUGGCAGAAGCGGCUUGUGGGCCGUGGAGCUGAGCGAAGGAGUUCGUGGGGCGGCUGGCGGAGCAGAGCGCAGCUGAGUGAAGGAGUUCGUGGGGCGGCUGGCGGAGUGGAGCGGAGCGAAGGAGUUCGUGGGGCGGCUGGCGGAGCGGAGUGGAGCGAAGGAGUUUGUGGGGUGGCUGGCGGAGCGGAGUGCCGCUAUGGAGCUAUGGGGCAGUCAGCUUCAGAUCACGUAAGGUGCCUCUUACCCCCGUCCCAUUUCCACCCAGGUUGGGAGGUAAAGCUCCGCAGAUAAACUUUCGAACUCUGGGGCUGCCCUGACCAGGGACAGAGACUUUUGGGGCAUUGGACUUUUGGGACUUUGGGUGAUUUGGGGUUGCUGGACUCAAGAACCAAAGGGUAUGCCCCAAUUUGCCUGGGGUGGGUUCUUUUUUUUUUGCUCAUGGGUUGUGUUAUGAAUCCUGUUGGUGGUGUUUCCCCAACAUAAUGCCACAUUGUUUCUCUCUGUUAUUAAAAGGCUUUUGCUACACUCA